rnacentral:lncRNA from 1 species
GGAAACAUUGGAUCCAUAAUAGUAGUAUCACAAUCUGAGAUAAGAUAUUGUAUGGUGAAUAACGAGCGCUAUAAUCUUGGAAGUCGAUUCUCAUUCACCGAAGGUUGUUUCAAGUACACCUGUAUGUGUUUCCGUAAUGGAUCUUGGGAAUGUCCUGGUUCUGACUCCCAAUACAUCUGUCAUCGGGACACAGAUUGGGCAAGCAUACCAGGU